rnacentral:rRNA from 1 species
CCUACGGGAGGCAGCAGUGGGGAAUAUUGGGCAAUGGGCGAAAGUCUGACCCAGCAACGCCGCGUGAAGGAUGACGGCUUUCGGGUUGUAAACUUCUUUUAAGAGGGAAGAGCAGAAGACGGUACCUCUUGAAUAAGAUACGGCUAACUACGUGCCAGCAGCCGCGGUCAUACGUAGGUGGCAGGCGUUGUCCGGAUUUACUGGGUGUAAAGGGCGUGUAGCCGGGCUGACAAGUCAGAUGUGAAAUUCCGGGGCUUAACCCCGGACUUGCAGUUGAUACUGUUGGUCUUGAGUAUCGGAGAGGCAGGCGGAAUUCCUAGUGUAGCGGUGAAAUGCGUAGAUAUGAGGAGGAACACCAGUGGCGAAGGCGGCCUGCUGGACGACAACUGACGGUGAGGCGCGAAAGCGUGGGGAGCAAACAGGAUUAGAUACCCUUGUAGUC